rnacentral:rRNA from 1 species
GACGUAGGGCGCGAGCGUUGUCCGGAUUUAUUGGGCGUAAAGAGCUCGUAGGCGGCUUGUCGCGUCGGCUGUGAAAUCCCGUGGCUCAACCUCGGGCCUGCAGUGGGUACGGGCAGACUGGAGUGCGGUAGGGGAGAAUGGAAUUCCUGGUGUAGCGGUGGAAUGCGCAGAUAUCAGGAGGAACACCGAUGGCGAAGGCGGCUCACUGGCCCGGUACUGACGCUGAGGUGCGAAAGCGUGGGGAGCAAACAGG